AGUUGAGUUUUUUUUUUAUUAGUUUGAUUAUAAUCAUUAUUUAAGACCCGAGUGUUCGGUGUUGUCUAAAAAUGUGCGACUGUUUCUUCAAAACGUGUACUGUAGUAGCAAUACUUUUUAGUUGGGUAAUGUAUUUGAUGAUGUACUCAAGUGUCAUGACAGGUCUGUGCCUUCUAGUUGAAAACGAACAAAGAAAUAAAAUGAAGGAAAUUAAACGAGCAAGCGUACUUUUUUUUUAUACUUAUCAUCUUCCCAAUUGAAGCGAUUUAUGGAGUUCUUGCAAGCAAACCAGCUCGAAUAACCCAUCAUUUGCUAACACAAGUCUUUUGUUUGGCGGUUUAUGUAAUUAUUGUAGCAAAAGCGUAUUAUAGCGGUCUUGUAUAUCCAGAUGAACAUAUUUACGCUUUUGGAUUUCCUGCUGGUAUCUCAUUUCUGCUUUUUGUGAUCACGUACAAAUAUUACCAGAGACUCAAGAGAAAAAAUUCACAGCCUGUGUCACAGUACGCAUCCGAGCCGCUUACACUAGACCACAACCCCACAGUAAUUCCAAUGCACGCUCCCGCAUAUGUGGCAAGAGCCUAAAUUUUUUGUAUUAUUAGCCUUACAUAUUGCAUUUAAUUCAAGGUGUAACGUUUUAUAAAGAUUAAAAUUACUUGAUUUUCAAAGUU